CAAAACUAAUCUGUGUCAUUAAAAGUCAGUUAGCAGUUUCCUUUGUAGGAGUGCUGACUGAAUGGGAGAUUGAGGGGGUGCUUCCAGGGUGCAAGUAAUGUUAUUUCUUGAUCUGGGUGAUUACAUGUUUGUGUCCACCUUGUGAAAAUUAUUUGAGCUGUACAACAUAUGAUUUGUGCAUUUUUGUAUAUGUGUUAGAUACUAAACUUUUAAAAAAUAUAUUGGGUAAAAAGUGCUCAGAAAUGCUGCUUUUAUAAUCAUUACUUACCUGUCAUCUAAGAAAGUCAAUGUGUGUAAAUUAUGAAAAGUAAUUUCUGUUUAUUGGCUGAAGUGAUCUCAUGACAAUCAUACCCAGUUGAGCCUUUGCACUAAACAUAGUUAUAUCAGUUGGGAAUUAAAUUCAACUGCAGGGAACCAAAAAACAAACAAACAAAAAAACAAAUAAAAGCGUCUCAGUCAAGACAGAGGUUGUUUUUCUUAAUGAGGAAUUUGAAGAAAGGCAGUCCAGAGCUAACAGGGCAGCACCACGGACAUCAGGUACC
rnacentral:lncRNA from 1 species